GACGGAAUUUACCGGAUAACUCAACGGCAGCUAAUUCCGUGCCAACAGCCACGGUAAUACGGGAGUGGCGAGCGUUAUCCGGAAUUAUUGGGCGUAAAGCGUCCGCAGGCGGCCCUUCAAGUCUGCUGUUAAAAAGUGGAGCUUAACUCCAUCAUGGCAGUGGAAACUGUUGGGCUUGAGUGUGGUAGGGGCAGAGGGAAUUCCCGGUGUAGCGGUGAAAUGCGUAGAUAUCGGGAAGAACACCAGUGGCGAAGGCGCUCUGCUGGGCCAUCACUGACGCUCAUGGACGAAAGCCAGGGGAGCGAAAGGGAUUAGAUACCCCUGUAGUCCUGGCCGUAAACGAUGAACACUAGGUGUCGGGGGAAUCGACCCCCUCGGUGUCGUAGCCAACGCGUUAAGUGUUCCGCCUGGGGAGUACGCACGCAAGUGUGAAACUCAAAGGAAUUGACGG
rnacentral:rRNA from 1 species